GGUAGUUUGGUCUCUGCUCCGGGUUUGCUGUCACAGCCCGUCACUUCCCGGAGCCCGGGACAGACAGGGCAACGCCCGUGUGUGUGUGAGCGGGACUCAGGGCAGAGGCGUCCUCUCGCUGUAUUUUUUUCUUCCUUUUAUCCAAAGAAGGGGGCAGUUCUCGCGCUUGCCUUCCUGUCGCCCCGUUGGGAGCGGGGUUGGUGUGCGGAGUGGUUCGUCUUUUUUGCUUUUAAACUUGUGAGCGUUUUUGGUUUUGUUUUUAUUUUUUUCUCCCCUUUUUUUUAGGCUCAGUGCCAUCUGGACUGGUUUCAUUGGUCUCUGACUAACCGCUUUCUGCCCCUUCUCUCGCCACCCCCACCCAAGGUCGCCCCUCUGCCCUCGCCCCUGGCCCGGGGGGUGGGAAGCUUUGUCAGGCUCCCUGCCCACUCGAGUCUCCGCAGCGUAGCAGCACCUGCUUCAGUAUGAACGGGGUCAACGACCCCCCUCUUUUUAUAAAAGAUAUUAAGCCCGGACUGAAAAACUUAAAUGUCGUCUUUAUUGUGCUGGAGAUAGGACGCGUGACCAAAACCAAAGACGGCCAUGAAGUGAGAUCAUGCAAAGUAGCAGAUAAAACUGGCAGCAUCACUAUUUCCGUGUGGGAUGAAAUCGGAGGUCUUAUACAGCCAGGGGAUAUUAUUCGGUUGACCAGAGGGUAUGCAUCCAUGUGGAAAGGAUGUCUGACACUUUAUACUGGAAGGGGUGGAGAACUUCAGAAAAUUGGGGAAUUUUGUAUGGUUUAUUCAGAAGUGCCAAAUUUCAGUGAACCUAACCCAGAUUAUCGAGGACAGCAGAACAAAGGGGCACACAGUGAACAGAAGAAUAAUUCCAUGAAUAGUAAUAUGGGUACAGGUACAUUUGGACCAGUGGGAAACGGUGUUCAAACUGGCUCAGAAGCAAGGGGAUGCCAAUUUUCAUAUGCUGGUAGAAGCAAUGGCCGGGGACCUGUAAAUCCACAGCUACCAGGAACAGCUAAUAAUCAAACAGUCAUGACCACAAUAAGUAAUGGCAGGGACCCUCGGAGAGCCUUUAAAAGAUGACCUAUGCCAAAUACGCACAUGUAGUUUUUAAACUACGUGCCCUACUUGAACACUUACUGCACUUUUAUUUAUUGUUAAGUGUGAAAACUGUCCUUUAUCCGUUUCCUUUUAUGUUUUUGGUUUGUUAACAAGAGUGGUUUGUUUUUUUAUAGCAGAACUAUUAAGCUGCUCGAGUCUCCUAUUGAAGAAUGGGAACACUGAAGAAUAGGGGCAUUUAUUUUUAGAGCAAAAAGAUCUUUGGAUAUCCUCUAAAAUACCUGCACCCAUUUCAUGGAUUGGUGUCAGGGUUCACCGCAGUUCCAGAGGAGGUUGACCUGACCAUCAGCAGGGCUACUUAGAGGCCUGGUCCUUCUUCACAGCAAGUGGGCUUGGGCCCAACUCUGAAUCCAGCCAUGCAAACACUGCCUGUGAAGACCUAGCAGUUACCCUGAGGUUUACAUGAAACAUCUUACAGAACUCCUUUCAACAUUUCUUGUAAGAUAGACUCUUGAUUUGCCUGCUCCACCAUUCCUAAAUUCCCCAGUAAGCAAACCUUAGGGGGACAUGGGUUCAAGCCCUGGUCCAGGAAGAUCCCACAUGCUGUGGAGCAACUAAGCCCGUGCACCACAACUACUGAAGCCUGCACGUCUAGAGCCCGUGCUCUGCAAUAGAAGCCACUGCAAUGAGGAGCCCGCGCACCGCAACAAAGAGUAAGUAGGCCCUGCUCACCACAACUAGAGAAAGCCUGCGUGCAGCAACGAAGACCCAACACAGCCAAAAAAAAAAAAAAAAAAUUUAAUAUCAUAAUUAUAUUAGAGAAAAACCUAAAACUAACAGGCAUUGUGAUGGUGUUAACUGAACUUCCAGUCUCUCUUCAGCAGGGAAAUCACAUAACUCUUGGCUGGCCCCUUGUCUUCUUCAGUCAUCUUAGUUCUUUGUGGCCCUUGAUUUUCAUUUUGGUUCUCCUCCCAUCCUUUUUGAAUUGAUUAAUCCCUUGUAUCAAUGCCUUUAUUACUUAAAAGAGUUUUCAGACUCUGAGUUUUUAAAAAUUCACACUUGACUGAGUUUUCUGUUUCAAGCAUCUAGCAUAGCACUUGACAAAUAGAAGACCUUCUGUUCAACCAAAGUCUUUGUCAAUUAUAGUUUAUAGCUCUAACUAUCCCUGACCUUAUUUGCAUAGCUCCAUGCAAAGUUCCAUACUGGAACUUCCAGUGCAUAUUUGGAAAUAGUAUUGCCAGAUGGUUCCAACAAGAAUACUAAGAUCAAUUAAGGAAAAAAAUAAAUUGACCACAAACCCAAAUUACACAUGCCAUCAGGAGCAGUUUGUUGCUGACAAUCCAUAUUACCUCUUAUGCUUUACAUUAGAUAGCUUUUAAUCAACUGUUUAUUUUUCAAAAACACACUUUGUUUUCAAACAAGUGGAUGAUAUAGCCCAAGAAGGCAAAUUCUUUUUUUUUUUGAGCCAACACUUAAUCUGCUGUGUUAAUUGGUCCAUAUAUUAAUCAUGACCACUGCUGAUCUUGUAAAGGAACUUCUCUGUAGUGCACUCCAGAACAUUUUUUUUCUGAGAAUUAUGCAAACUGGAGUAGCAUUUUACAGCUGAAUUUAUAUUUACCAGUGAAUCUUAAUGUUCACAUAUCUUUAUAUGUCUAUUAGUUAUCCAUUACUGUGUAACAAAUUACUCCAAACCUUAGUGGCUUUAAAUGGCCACUAAUUUAUUUUAUUAUCACUCAUAGUAUUUAUUGUUUUUGCCAGUCAGGAAUUUAUGAGUGUCUUGGCUCGGUGGUUCCGGCUCAGGGUUUCUAAUGAGGUUGAGUCAGUUGUUAACUGGGGCAAUAGCCAUGUGAAGCCCUAACUGGGGCUGGAAGAUGCAUUUCCAAGGUGGCUCACUCAUGACUGGCAAGUUGGUGCUGGCUGUUGGCUUCUUGCCAUGUGAGCAUCCCCAAGAAACUGCCUGAGUAAUGGUCUGCAGAAUCAUGACCCCUGUGGCAAGCAUGCUAGAGUCUCUGUGUAGAAUUUUCAAAAUAUCACUCUUAUUCUGGGAUUCUGAUUAUUUAUACUGAUAAGGAUGGUGUGGGAACAAUUUAGAACUAAUAGUGUACAUAAUAGGAAGAAUUACAUCCAUGUCAUGAUUUUCUGAACUCAAAGUCAAUGGCAUUCUGUCUGACAAAUUUAGGGUGUUAUUCAUGGUCAUUUUUAGGACAAUCCAGUGAGGUGGGUAUUAUUAUCACUUCGAAUUUACAGAUCAGAAAACUGAGAAAGCAACUGCUCAGAUAAUUGCCCCAUGGAGCUAAAAUUUGAAUUUAGGCAUUGGACUCUGAAACCUGUGCUCCUAAAAAUCAAGCUAUACUGUCUCCUCUUUGGCUCUUUUUUUUUUUUUUUUUACAAAAUUAAAACUUCAUUUUAUUAUGAGAAUUUGAAUAUACAAUAAAGUAGACAAAAUAUUUCCUGAACAUACAUGUACUCAGUACCCAGCUCCACUGACUAUCAAUUUAUAGCCAUUCAUGGCUCAUCUACGCCUCUCUCUCCCUCAUUUAUUUUGAAGGAAAUUUCAGAUAUCAUGUCAUUUCAUCCAUAAAUAUUUCAGUAUGACUCUCUAAAAGAAAAGGGCGUCUUAAAACAUAAACAUGGGCUUCCCUGGUGGUGCAGUGAUUGAGAGUCCUACUGCUGAUGCAGGGGACACGGGUUCGUGCCCCGGUCUGGGAAGAUUCCACAUGCCGCGGAGCAGCUGGGCCCAUGAGCCAUGGCUGAUGAGCCUGCGUGUCCAGAGCCUGUGCUCCGCAACGGGAGAGACCACAACAGUGAGGGGCCCGCGUACCGCAACAAACAAACAAACAAACAACAACAAAAAAUAAACAUUAUCGGAUGAAAAAAGGUAACACUAUUUCCUUAUUAUCAAAUAUUCAGUCAAUGUUCAAAUUUCCAAUUGUUUCAUAAAUGUCAUUCCUUUUUAAAAAAUAUUUUCAUUUGAGUCAUCAUUUGAAUAAUGUCCACACAUUGUGAUUUGUUGACAUGUCUUUUAAUUUUAUUUUUAUUUAUAUAUUCCUCUCCAUCUUUUUAUUUUUUCUUUUUAUCACUGAUGAACAUGUAUUUCCAAGACUUGACUAUUAUAAACAAAGCUGAAAAAAAUGUCCUUGUGUUUAUUUUUCUGGGAACUGAUGUUUCAUGUUUUCAUCUAUUUUUAUUGGCAUAUUUAAUUUUAUCAAACUGAUUUUUAAGAGUUCUCUAAAUGUUAAAGAAAUCAACUUAUUUUCUAAUAUGUGUAUUAUAUUUUUUUCCAGCUUGUUUGUAUUUUGACUUUUAUGGUGUUUUAAAGUUUAAGAUUUGUGUGUUGUCAAAUUUAUCAAGUGUCUGGAUGUCUCUCUCUCUCUUGCUCUCUCUCUCCUGUGAUGGUCCCAACCAUUUAUAAUUGAUUUCAAGACGUUAUAAUUUAUUAGAUGUUACAAAAUGGUAAUGUUCUAUACUUAUUUCAUCCCUUCUUUAUUUACUAGCUAGCUGCAAUACUUGUAUAAAGAGAAACACGCUUCAUCUACUAUUUCGUUACCCAAUGAUUCAUUUAUAUAAGAAAGAGAGAAAAUAAGAAAAAUCUCAAACAAUCUAACCUUACACCUAAAGGAACUAGAAAAAGAAGAACAAAAAAAGCCCAAGUUAGUAGAAGGAAAUAAUAAAGAUCAGAGUGGAAAUAAAUGAUAUAGAGGCAAAAAGAAAGAAAGAAAGAAAAAAAAAGAAAAGAUCAACAGCUGAAACUAACAGGUGAUUCUUUGAAAAGAUAAACAGAAUUGGUAAGCCUUUAGCCAGACUCAUGAAGAAAAAAGAGGGCUCGAGUAAAUAAAAUCAGAAAUGAAAAAAAAAAAAGCAAUCAGGGAGAAAUUAAGAAAACAAUACCAUUUACAAUUGUAUCAAAAAGAAUAAAACACCUAGGAAUAAAUUUAACCAAGGAAGUAAAAGGCCUGUACUCUAAAUCUAUAAGGCAUUGAUGAAAGAAAUUGAAGAUGACACAAACAAAUGGAAAGAGACACUGUACUCAUAGGUUGGAAAUUAAUAUUGUUAAAAUGUAUUAUCCAAAGCAAUCUACAGAUUCAAUGGAAUCUCUAACAAAAUACCAAUGGCAUUUUUCACAGAACUAGAACAAAUAAUCCUAAAGUUUGUGUGGAACCCAAAAAGACCCCAAGUAGCCAGAACAAUCUUGAGAAAGAGAAACAAAGUUGGAGAUAUCACACUCCCUGAUUUUAAGUUAUAUUACAAAGCUAUAGUAAUCAAAAAGUAUGGCACUGGCACAGAAACAGACACAUAGAUCUAUGGAACAGAAUGGAGAGCCCAGAAAUUAACCCAUGCUUAACUGGUCAGUUAAUCAAAGGAGGCAAGAAUAUACAGUGGGGGAAAAGACAGUCUCUUCUAUAAAUGGUGUUGGGAAAACUGGGUAGCUACAUGCAAAAGAAUGAAACUGGACCCCUUUCUCACACCAUAUACAAAAAUAAAGUCAAAAUAAGUUAAAGACUUAAAUAUAAAACUUGAAACCAUAAAAUUACUAGACGAAAGCAUGCAGCACACUCUUUGACGUUGCAGCAAUAUUUUUUUUCAAUCUGUAAGGUAAGGGCAACAAAAGCAAUAGUAAACAAAUGCAAAAAAAAAAAAAAAAGAAAGAAAGAAAAAAAAAAUGCCACCAAACUGAAAAGCUUUUACACAGUGAAGGAAAUCAUCAAUACAACAAAAAGGCCACCUACUGAAUGGGAGAAGAUAUUUGCAAAUUGUGUGUCUGAUAAAGGGUCAAUAUCCAAAAUAUAUAAAGAACUCUCACAAAUCAAUAUCAAAAAAACAAACAAUUUGAUUAAAAAAAUAAGCAGAAGACCUGAAUGAACUUUUUCCAAAGAAGACAUACAGAGGGAAAAAAGACAAAAAAAUUGCUCAAAUCACAAAUCAACAGGGAAAUGCAAACCAAAACCACAAUUAGAUAUCACUUUGGACCUCUCAGAAUGGCUGUUAUCAAAAAGACAACGAAUAACAAGUGUUGGUGAAGAUGUGGAGAAAAGGGAGCCCUCCUAUCGGUUGGUAGGAAUGUAAAUUGGUACAGCAACUAUGAAAAAAGUAUGAAGAUUCCUCAAAAAAUUGAAAAUAGAACUACCAUAUGAUCCAGCAAUUCCACUUCUGGAAAAAAAACACUAAUUCAAAAAGAUAUAUGUACCCCAAUGUUCAUGGCGGCAUUAUUCACAAUAGUCAAGAUAUAGAAGCAACCUUAGUGUCCACUGAUAGAUGAAUGAAUACAGAAGAUGUGGUAUAUUUUAUUUACACAAUGGAAUAUUAUUCAGCCAUAAAAAUUAUGAAAUCUUGCCAUUUGUGACAAAAUGGAUGGACCUGGGGGUAUUAUGCAAAGUGAAAUAAGUCAGGCAGAAGAAGACAAAUACAGUAUGAUUUCACUUAUAUGUGGAAUCUAAAAAACAACCAACCAACCAAAUAAAACAAAACAGAAACAGACCCAUAGAUACAGAGAACAAACUGGCAGUUGCCAGAAGAAUGGGAGGUGGGGGGGUUGGGUGAAAAAGGUGAAGAAGACUGAGAGCUACAUAGUAUAUAGCUCCAGUUAUAAAAUAAAUGUCGAAAACAUAUACAGCAUAAGGAAUAUUGUCAAUAAUAUUGUAAUAACUUUGUAUGGAGACAGAUCAUUACUAGACUUAUGUUGAUCAAUUAGUAAUGUAUAUAAACAUUGAAUCAUGAUGUUGUACAACUGAAACUAAUAUAAUAUUGUAUGUAAACUACAAUAAAAAAUAAAGACUAAAAAUAUUGUAAUAGAUAAAGCAAAAAAAAAAAAAAGAGAGGGAGGAGAAAUGUUAGAUUAUUUCUAUUUAUUUACCAGCUUUCAAAAUAAUGACUUGAUAUAUAUCUACAAGAUGACCAACUGGAUUUUUAAAUCAUUAUUAUUAAGACAAGGAUUUAAACAAACUGAUACAUUUCAAUCUAUUAAAGAUACUAUUCUUAACAUGCUUAAAUUAUCCCAUCUCUGGCCAAUGAGAACCUCUUUAAGUUGGCUCCAGAAUCCUUCUGAUAUACCUCUAGUAGUUUUUAAGAGUUUUUUUCCUUCCCCCCAUGAAUAUGAGAAAAUAUUCUAGACUUACCUUGUGGAUCUUCUGCCCCAGUCUUGGACUCAGGCAUUUUGUCCAAGGGUCUUACACAGAGAUGCAGCAGGAUAUUUUAAAGUUUUGAGUGAAACACAGCAAAAAUCAACAUCUGUUGGAUAGGAAGUGAACUGCCAGCACAAGGUAGAUUCCAUUUUCAACAUUAUGUAAUGCUAGAAUAUUUUCAGUGAUGGCAUAUAUUUGCAGUCCUAGGUUUUUGGUGGUUGCUGGAAUAAAAAGCAGUGCCUCUGAAAAUCAGUGUGGAACAGGAAAAGAGAGUGGUGUGUCCAAUCUGAUUCCAAGGUUUGAGAGGCUGUGCAGACCCCAGCAGGUGCAUUUAUCCUAUUAGUAAUUGUCACUGUUAAAGAAUGAGAUAAAUUCUUUUUUCAAUUUAUGUGUAUUACUUUUUUUCAAAUGACUCCUAAGUUGUUAGGAAAGAAAUACUUAAAUUCUUUGGACCUAACUACUUAAUAAAUGAAACUAUUGAAUUUUUAAACUUUUUUUUUUUUUUUUUUAAAUCUAGGGCUACCAAGAAAAAACUACUGAGACAUCAAGACAUUGUGAAUGGAGAAUGUUUGGGAGCCUCUGGAUUAAACUAUCCUUGCUUUUGUCUGUAUGUGGCUAAGAGUUCUCUUGUGCGUCACUGCUGCCAUUUUAAAAUUUACUUCUGUUUAUCUUAUUAGUAGAAUCUUUUAUCCGUGUUUAUACUGUAGCAACUCCUUUAAGUCACUAGCCCAACAUUUGAAGGUUAGUGUAGCUAAAACAAGAUAAUAUACUACAGUUGAAAGUGGUCACACUGCUAGUCCAGUAAAAUAUUAGUCUAUCCAUUUGUUGAGAGUUUGACUUGCUUUCUCUAACAACUUGUGUGUGGUGCUGGAUUACUUCAGGGGCUGAUUUCCUUGUUGAAAAGCCACAUCAGCAAAUUUAAUUUCAGAUGAGUAUGGCUGCUCUACCAGGCACAGGUUAGCUAUAAUAUAUCAUAAUAUACUGAAGGCAGAUGAACAAGAGCAGGUGCCACUCUCAAUUUCAUGAAACUCCCACUCUUGUCUCAAGACUGUUUAGGAAUUUAAUGUGCACACAACCACUUAACAUACAGAACUAGGCAAGGUGCCAGGGUCUACUGGUGUAUGAGAUAAUAACAAAGCUAAACUACUUUAUUAUUUUUCUUUAGAUAAAAUAGAAAUAAUAGUUCUAAUAAUUUUUCUAGAAUUCCCAAACUGUACUCCCUCUCUUUGGAGACCACUACUCCAGACCACUUAGUUACUGCAUUAUAACAUUUUCCUUGCUAUAAUCUCUUCCUGAGCUAAACCAAUGAAGCCAUUUAUUGGCCAUCAUGACCUUAGGCAAGUCAACUGGGGCCAGGUUUGUACCAUUUCCUGACACUUGCUUGAUACGAGAGACCCCGUCUGGCUGUCUUGUUCAGAAACAAGUUAGGUGGCCUGUACUUCUGAGUUUUCAUAAAAAUUGGAGCAGAAUAUUCUGCAUGGCAGAGUAAAUUUGGGAACUAUCAGGGUGGGUUUUGUUUCUCUUGGUUUGUUCCACCUCCCAACCGUCGACUCCCUCACUGAACUAACACCCUCUGUGGCUUCAGGAGGCAUUCAUUUGUUCCAGGGAUGGCCAGACACGGAAGAGUCAGGAAAGAAGAAAAUGUUAUUUGCACUUCUAAAUACAUUGAAAUAUUCAUAGUAGACUUCCAAGUCUUGGAAGCCUGGGUGCUUUUGAUUUGCAAGAGCUUUCUGAGAGAGAAAAGAUUUUUUUUUGGAAUUGUACAAGCUUUACUUUGAAUAUCAAGAGCCGAAGGUCUUAACAAAUAUUCGUAUGUAAAGUUUAUCCAUUAACUGUAAGUGUGAGAGAAUUGUGCCACCACCUCUACCCACUCCUCCAACACACACACAAAAGAAAUUUAAAAAUCUUUUCUGCACUGAAGAUGAAGGCAAGAAUUUUCAAGGGUUAAUUAUGUCCUUAACACUCCCAUCCACCAAGGUAGAGAGGGUGAUUGCAACUCCACUUAAAGUUUGGAGGAAGCUAUGGAAAAGAUCUGUGAUUCAUUUUAUUUUAUUUUUAAAAAAUUUAUUUAUUUGUUUUAUUUUCGGCUGCAUUGGGUCUUCAUUGCUGUGCACGGGCUUUUCUCUAGUUGUGGCGAGUGGGAGCUACUCUUCGUUACGGUGCACGGGCUUCUCAUUCCGGUGGCUUCUUUUGUUGUGGAGCACGGGCUCUAGGCGUGCGGGCUUCAGUAGUUGUGGCACGUGGGCUUCAGUAGUUGUGGCACGCGGGCUCAGUAAUUGUGGCUCACAGGCUCUAGUGCACAGGCUCAGUAGUUGUGGCACACAGGCUUAGUUGCUCCGUGGCAUGUGGGAUCUUCCCGGACCAGGGAUCGAACCUGUGUCCCCUGCAUUGGCAGGCGGAUUCUUAACCACUGCGCCACCAGGGAAGCCCCAUGUGAUUCAUUUUAGAGAAUGUAGCCAGAGGAGACUGUUAGCUUCUCCAUGAAUCCACUGGCUUGCUUGGUGCUGGCAUGCUGAAUCAGUAGUGAGGCGGGCGUAGACAAAUAGGCUGCAGGCAGCUUCACAGGUCUCAGACAGCAGAGCAUUCCUGAUCUCUGAGAAGGUUUGGGCUGGAGGGUGAGAGGACCUGAAGGGACAUCACAGUGGGAAUGAGGAGCAUGCAGAGUUCAUGGACCAUUCAAUUGGAAAUCUUGGUGAAUAUACAGUUUUCAUGUCAUUUACUUCUGCUUGCCUUAUUACUAUCAUCUUUAAUAACCAUGGACCAGGUGCUCUCCCCCUGCUGCAAUGACUCUGCAUAUGCUCAAGAACAAAGAUACAGCCCCCAGGGAAAAGUGAGGAGGCCCA